rnacentral:rRNA from 1 species
CAGCAGCCGCGGUAAUACGAAGGGUGCAAGCGUUAAUCGGAAUUACUGGGCGUAAAGCGUGCGUAGGCGGUGAGUUAAGUCUGUUGUGAAAUCCCCGGGCUCAACCUGGGAAUGGCAAUGGAUACUGGCAAGCUAGAGUGUGUCAGAGGAUGGUGGAAUUCCCGGUGUAGCGGUGAAAUGCGUAGAGAUCGGGAGGAACAUCAGUGGCGAAGGCGGCCAUCUGGGACAACACUGACGCUGAGGCACGAAAGCGUGGGGAGCAAACAGGAUUAGAUACCCCUGUAGUCCCUGUCUCUUAUAC